rnacentral:rRNA from 1 species
AUGCAAGUCGAGGGGCAGCAUGGUCUUAGCUUGCUAAGGCUGAUGGCGACCGGCGCACGGGUGAGUAACACGUAUCCAACCUGCCGUCUACUCUUGGCCAGCCUUCUGAAAGGAAGAUUAAUCCAGGAUGGCAUCAUGAGUUCACAUGUCCGCAUGAUUAAAGGUAUUUUCCGGUAGACGAUGGGGAUGCGUUCCAUUAGAUAGUAGGCGGGGUAACGGCCCACCUAGUCAACGAUGGAUAGGGGUUCUGAGAGGAAGGUCCCCCACAUUGGAACUGAGACACGGUCCAAACUCCUACGGGAGGCAGCAGUGAGGAAUAUUGGUCAAUGGGCGAUGGCCUGAACCAGCCAAGUAGCGUGAAGGAUGACUGCCCUAUGGGUUGUAAACUUCUUUUAUAAAGGAAUAAAGUCGGGUAUGCAUACCCGUUUGCAUGUACUUUAUGAAUAAGGAUCGGCUAACUCCGUGCCAGCAGCCGCGGUAAUACGGAGGAUCCGAGCGUUAUCCGGAUUUAUUGGGUUUAAAGGGAGCGUAGAUGGAUGUUUAAGUCAGUUGUGAAAGUUUGCGGCUCAACCGUAAAAUUGCAGUUGAUACUGGAUGUCUUGAGUGCAGUUGAGGCAGGCGGAAUUCGUGGUGUAGCGGUGAAAUGCUUAGAUAUCACGAAGAACUCCGAUUGCGAAGGCAGCCU